GGCUGCCCUGCUUAGAGGCUGAACAAGCUCCUGUGGUGCUGGAAAACGCCCUCAAGUGGAGGAGCACUAGAGGUGGGAGCUGCCCCCUAGGGGUCUCAGUAAUCCUCCGCCGCAGCUGCAGAUGAGCUCAGAAGAGGGUGGAGGAGGUCUGGGGCGGGCAUCAACAGUGGCUGCUGCAGAGGGAUUUGGAGAGAGAUGAGACAAAGUUACGUUAAAUGAGGACCGUGAUUGAGGAACCUGGGAGCCUGAGGAAGAGGGAGGAGCAGCCCCUUACCAAAAAUGGGGUGGGGGCUGAUGAAGAACUGAAGUGGCCAGAAAGGAAGUGAUGCCGGUA
rnacentral:lncRNA from 10 species